UACGGGAGGCAGCAGUGGGGAAUAUUGCACAAUGGGCGAAAGCCUGAUGCAGCUAUGCCGCGUGUAUGAAGAAGGCCUUAGGGUUGUAAAGUACUUUCAUCGGGGAGGAAAAACAAACUAAUAAUUUUAUUUCUUGACGUUACCCGAAAAAGAAGCACCGGCUAACUCCGUGCCAGCAGCCGCGGUAAUACGGAGGGUGCUAGCGUUAAUCAGAAUUACUGGGCGUAAAGAGCACGUAGGUGGUUUUUUUAAGUCAGAUGUGAAAUCCCUGGGCUUAACCUAGGAACUGCAUUUUGAAACUGAAAUACUAGAGUAUCGUAGAGGGAGGUAGAAUUCUAGGUGUAGCGGUGAAAUGCGUAGAUAUCUGGAGGAAUACCUGUGGCGAAAGCGGCCUCCUAAACGAAUACUGACACUGAGGUGCGAAAGCGUGGGGAGCAAACAGGGAUUAGAUACC
rnacentral:rRNA from 1 species